ensembl:lncRNA
UGCUGCAGUUCAUUUUGCUUUUGAUUACCUUUAACGUGGUCCAGUAUUAUUAGUAAUAAUUAUAAUUUAACUCCUAAGUUAAAGUGUUAUCUGAAAACUGUUACAGUUUUGAAAACUUUAAUGAACAAAGAAGAGAAAAAUGAGUUUUCUAGGUGUUAAUAAGACAGAAAUUUGUAAGAAAUUUAAAUCCAAACAUAACAGAAAACAGGGAACAAAUGCUUCAGUAAAUGCAGGACAGACGUUGAGUUCACAAUUUGCAUUCAGUACAAAAUAUGAAUGAUGCUUUUCUAGUGUGAGAGAGUGACACAUUCAACAAAAAAAAGCUUUUUUGAGAUUUUUGUGAAUAGAGUACGGACAAAUAUUUCUACAUCCAAAAUAAGGCCUGAAUAUUUGUACGUAGCUGUUAUUGCUUUUAACUUUGCAUGUUUUGCCUUUAAAAAAAUAAAAUAAAAGUGCUACUCUAAACAAUCAAGUGUCUCAUUUUGAGUUGAGGAGUUCCUUCUACUUCUUGUUCAUUUACAUACACGAGGCCCCUGAAUAGAAGUGGCCAGGGUUGAAAGCUGAUCAUGAGUCAUUAUGAUCAAACUGAUUCACACUGACACUAACCAAAACAGGGUAUAACUCUGGACUCAAAUCUGAUUAAACUCGCUCUUUCUGUGUCAAACUGCAUUACAUCAAUCCCAUCACUCUGGAAUAUGCCAUAGCACCAUAUCAAAAAAAAAAAAGAAGAAAAAAUUCAGUUUGGACCUGUGGCUUUUGUUAGUUCCCAUGCUGUCUAAUGAUCCCCCCACUUUUCCUCCAACCUCCAGCAGACAAAUCCUUCAGCUUUAUUGCCCAGACUCAAGGGCUGCAGGUGCACAGGCCACAAAAGGAAGGAGGAGGGGGUGCAUGGAGCGUUGGGAUGGGAAAGAGAAUGGUCAGUCGGGAGAUAAGAGGGGAAGGAACAGAACCCCCUACCCUGUUUUAACCUCUAAACCCACACAUCCUUCCCCUCACCCUGCCUCCAUGCCAGUGCUCCUUCUACCCUGCAACACCUCUCUGUUUUGCUCCGCUGCCUUCCCGCUCGUGAGAAGAGUGCAAACUGAAUGGUGCCGCCUGGCGCUACCAGGCCUUGCUGGGUAUGUGUGGCAGGGGACAGAGGGCAGGCAUGGCAAUCUGGCCAUGUGGUGGGAGCAGCCCUUUACUUCUAAACCAGCAGAGAAGUAAUGACUAUGAGACUCGUCCCACCUUGUCCUGCAGUGGCCCAUGAGCGACUGCUGCUGCUGGUGACCGCUAUAAUGUCAAAGUACUCUCCUCCAAUGAAUCUUUCUGAAUAGCUCAAACUUGGCUUAUGCCCCACUGACAAACUAAACGUGGG